rnacentral:tRNA from 2 species
CGGGGCGUGGCGCAGCUUGGCAGCGCGUCUGGUUUGGGACCAGAAGGUCGUGGGUUCAAAUCCCGCCGCCCCGA